rnacentral:tRNA from 1 species
GCAUGGGAUAGCUCAGUCGGUGGAGCAUGACACUCUUAAUCUCAGGGUUGUGGGUUCGAGCCCCACAUUGCA